UCGCACGAGAAAGUGGAGCAAUCCAUGAGUACAGUGGCGCACGGGUGAGUAACACGUGAAUCAUCUACCUUCGAGUGGGGAAUAACUGAGAGAAAUCUUGGCUAAUACCGCAUAAUACCUACGGGUCAAAGCAGCAAUGCGCUUGAAGAGGAGUUCGCGGCAGAUUAGUUAGUUGGCGGGGUAAUGGCCCACCAAGACGAUGAUCUGUAUCCGGCCUGAGAGGGCGCACGGACACACUGGAACUGAAACACGGUCCAGACUCCUACGGGAGGCAGCAGUGGGGAAUUUUGCGCAAUGGGGGAAACCCUGACGCAGCAACGCCGCGUGGAGGAUGAAGCCCCUUGGGGUGUAAACUCCUUUCGAUAGGGAAGAUAAUGACGGUACCUAUAGAAGAAGCCCCGGCUAACUUCGUGCCAGCAGCCGCGGUAAUACGAGGGGGCAAGCGUUGUUCGGAAUUAUUGGGCGUAAAGGGCGCGUAGGCGGUCUGACAAGUCUUGUGUGAAAUCUCUGGGCUCAACCCAGAGUCUGCAUAGGAAACUGUCGGGCUUGAGUAUGGGAGAGGUGAGUGGAAUUUCCGGUGUAGCGGUGAAAUGCGUAGAUAUCGGAAGGAACACCUGUGGCGAAAGCGGCUCACUGGACCAUAACUGACGCUGAGGCGCGAAAGCUAGGGGAGCAAACAGGAUUAGAUACCCUGGUAGUCCUAGCCCUAAACGAUGAUUGCUUGAUGUG
rnacentral:rRNA from 1 species